CAGUGGGGAAUAUUGGACAAUGGGCGAAAGCCUGAUCCAGCGACGCCGCGUGUCGGAAGGAGUCCUUCGGGAUGUAAACGACUUUUGGUGGAGACGAAUAAGCAGCUCAGGGAAUGGGGCUGUGAUGACGGUAUCCAUGGAAUAAGCCCCGGCUAACUACGUGCCAGCAGCCGCGGUAAGACGUAGGGGGCAAGCGUUACCCGGAAUUACUGGGCGUAAAGGGAGCGUAGGCGGGAGGUCAAGUCCGGUGUGAAAGACCCUGGCUCAACCAGGGAUGAGGGCUGGAAACUGACAAUCUUGAGUACAGCAGAGGAAGAGGGAAUUACCGGUGUAGGGGUGAAAUCCGUAGAGACCGGUAAGAAGGCCAGUGGCGAAGGCGCUUUUCUGGGCUGUUACUGACGCUGAGGCUCGAAAGCCAGGGGAGCAAACCG
rnacentral:rRNA from 1 species